rnacentral:rRNA from 1 species
UACGUAGGUGGCAAGCGUUGUCCGGAAUUAUUGGGCGUAAAGCGCGCGCAGGCGGUUUCUUAAGUCUGAUGUGAAAGCCCCCGGCUCAACCGGGGAGGGUCAUUGGAAACUGGGAAACUUGAGUGCAGGAGAGAAGAGUGGAAUUCCACGUGUAGCGGUGAAAUGCGUAGAGAUGUGGAGGAACACCAGUGGCGAAGGCGACUCUUUGGCCUGUAACUGACACUGAGGCGCGAAAGCGUGGGGAGCAAACAGG